rnacentral:rRNA from 1 species
UUGAUCCUGGCUCACGAUGAACGCUAGCGGCAGGCUUAACACAUGCAAGUCGAGGGGCAGCGCGGAGUAUCAAUACUCUGGCGGAGACCGACGGAAGGGUGCGUAACACGUGAGCGACUUGCCCGUCACAGGGAGAUAACCGCUGGAAACGGAGACUAAUAUCCCAUAUGAUGGCGAUCUGCAUGGAUUGUCAUUGAAAGAUUCAUCGGUGACGGAUAGGCUCGCGGGGCAUCAGCUAAACGGCGGGGCAACGGCCCACCGCGGCGACGAUACCUACGGGUUCUGAGAUGAAAACCCCCCGCACUGGGACUGAGACACGGCCCAUACUCCUACCGGAGGCAGGAGUGAGGAAUAUAGAUCAGUGGGCGGAAGCCUGAACCAACCAUGCCGCGUGAAGGACUAAGGACCUAUGGGUCGUAAACUUCUUGAUACGCAGAGCAAUAAGGGUCUCGUGAGAUCCGAUGAUAGUAUGCGUAAAAUAAGCAUCGGCUAACUCCGUGCCAGCAGCCGCGGUAAUACGGUGGAUGCGAGCGUCAUCCGUAUUUAUUGGGUGUAAAGGGUGCGUAGCGCAGAACUGCAACUCAGCGGUGAAAUCCCCGCGCUCAACGCGGGAGUUGCCGUUGAUACUGAACAUCUGGAAUGCUCUUGCCGUGCGAAGAAUGAGUACUGUAGCGGUGAAAUGCAUAGAUAUUACUCAGAACACCGAUUGCGAAGCCAUCUCACGAAGGGCCGAUUGACGUUGAGGCACGAAAGCGUGGUUAUCGACCAGAAUAAGAUACCGUGUUAGUCCACGCAGUAAACGAUGAUGCCUAACUGUCGUGUUUUAGGAUUCGGCGCCCAAGCGAAAGCGAUAAGCCACCCAUCUGGGGAGUACGACCGCAAGGUUGAAACUCAAAGGAAUUGACGGGGCCCCGCACAAGCGGAGACACAUGUGGUUAAAUUAGAUGAUACGCGAGGCACAUUACGCAGGUUCGAACGGCAUCUGAAUCAUCCAGAGAUGGAUGACUCUUCGGACAGAUGUGGAGGUGCUGCAUGGUUGUCGUCAGCUCGUGCCGUGAGGUGUCGGCUUAAGUGCCAUAACGAGCGCGACCCUUGCCGUUAGUUACCAUCAAGUGAAGUUGGGCACUCUAGCGAGACUGCCACCGCAAGGUGUGAGGAAGGGGGGGAUGACGUCAAAUCAGCACGGCCCUUACGUCUGGGGCGACACACGUGUUACAAUGGCGGUUACAGGGGGGAGCCACCCCGCGAGGGGGCGCUGAACUCAAAAGCCCGUCUCAGUUCGGACUGGAGUCUGCAACCCGACUCCACGAAGCUGGAUUCGCUAGUAAUCGCGCAUCAGCCAUGGCGCGGUGAAUACGUUCNCCGGGCCUUGUACACACCGCCCGUC